ACGCUGGCGGCGUGCCUAACACAUGCAAGUCGAACGGAACUGUUUUGAAAGAUUUCUUCGGAAUGAAUUUGAUUUAGUUUAGUGGCGGACGGGUGAGUAACGCGUGAGUAACCUGCCUUCAAGAGGGGGAUAACAUUCUGAAAAGAAUGCUAAUACCGCAUGACAUAUCGGAACCACAUGGUUCUGAUAUCAAAGAUUUUAUCGCUUGAAGAUGGACUCGCGUCCGAUUAGUUAGUUGGUGAGGUAACGGCUCACCAAGACCGCGAUCGGUAGCCGGACUGAGAGGUUGAACGGCCACAUUGGGACUGAGACACGGCCCAGACUCCUACGGGAGGCAGCAGUGGGGGAUAUUGCGCAAUGGGGGCAACCCUGACGCAGCAACGCCGCGUGAAGGAUGAAGGUUUUCGGAUUGUAAACUUCUUUUAUUAAGGACGAAAAAUGACGGUACUUAAUGAAUAAGCUCCGGCUAACUACGUGCCAGCAGCCGCGGUAAUACGUAGGGAGCAAGCGUUGUCCGGAUUUACUGGGUGUAAAGGGUGCGUAGGCGGCUUUGCAAGUCAGAUGUGAAAUCUAUGGGCUCAACCCAUAAACUGCAUUUGAAACUGUAGAGCUUGAGUGAAGUAGAGGCAGGCGGAAUUCCCCGUGUAGCGGUGAAAUGCGUAGAGAUGGGGAGGAACACCAGUGGCGAAGGCGGCCUGCUGGGCUUUAACUGACGCUGAGGCACGAAAGCGUGGGUAGCAAACAGGAUUAGAUACCCUGGUAGUCCACGCUGUAAACGAUGAUUACUAGGUGUGGGGGGUCUGACCCCUUCCGUGCCGGAGUUAACACAAUAAGUAAUCCACCUGGGGAGUACGGCCGCAAGGUUGAAACUCAAAGGAA
rnacentral:rRNA from 1 species